ACUCCUGAAGGAUGCCAUUCAGCUCACUACUUUCUCCACUCUCUUAUCCCAGUGUCAAUGUCCAUAACUUUCACCAUAAGGACUUUGUAUUUUAAAAAAUACGUUUUAAAGAACCGAUUGUUACAGCAUAAACACACACGCACACGCACACACACACACACACACACACACCCUGUCUUCAGAAGCUUGGAAUACAUUACAGAUUCACUGCCCUAAAAACCACUCACAGCAGGGAUCGUUUUACCCCGGACACCAAAGAAAUCCUCCAGAUUUGAGCCACUCGGUGGCGAAACACGGACUGAAAGAAGAUGACUAGUGGAGCAACUAUUUCUGCGUGACUGCAGAGAGAAAACACAAAGAAAGGAAUUUAGAAUGACUCAGCCCGGGCGGCGCAGCGGGUGAGGGCCUCGCGAACAAUGGAAAGUCACACUGGGGCCUCAGAACCCGGGUCUACACCCUCAGCGUCAGAGGCUGCUGACCGCUGGGGGCAGCAGGGACACUAGGCAAAAAGUGACUUUCUUGUCCCUCAUUUCUUGCUUUUUAGCCUAAAAUGCAGAACUAGCUCUUAAGAUUGAAAUAUAAUUAUGAUAAUUUUGUAAAACUCACAGGAGCUCUGGGACAUAAAAGCAAAGGUCCGGGGCCUCAUUCCCAGAGGCCAGGGUCAUUUGGGCAGCAAAUAACAAAUGCCAGGAAUCCACACAUCAACUCGCCUGGGCUGGGGAUGGGGGUGGGGGUGGGUAGGACUCUGAGCACGUUUUUUUAACUCACCAGAAAACUUUCUAGAAAAAAAAAAAAAAAGCCCAAGGGCGCCACAUGGCUAGCCUUUGCUUCCAGGCCAAGGGUAAAAGUCUUUGCUGUACCUCCAAGAGGCCAGCUUGGACCUCACAGGAUAAUGAAUUUGCCCUUUCUGGCAGGAACAGGAACUCAGAAAAGAAAUUGGCCAGAGGCCUGGUGGUUAGGAGAUUGUUUCUGAAAAAAUGCAAUCAUCUAAUAGAGAAUCUGUUGAGCUUAGGGUUUCUUGUGUGGGACUCAGUUACUCUCGAGGAAUGUAGCAGCUGCAGCCAACAUUUAAAAAUCAAUAGAAU
rnacentral:lncRNA from 1 species